CGACUCUGGUUUCUCUUCAUUACGCACAGCCUUUCCGCCUUUACUAAAGACUUCCGUGAGAGGAACACUUACGAGUUCAACAUAUUUUGGAAGGGCUUUGCUAUCUGGCAGAGC
rnacentral:snRNA from 1 species